rnacentral:tRNA from 1 species
GCCGGAGUGGCGGAAUUGGCAGACGCGCUGGAUUCAAAAUCCAGUUCUCGCAAGGGAGUGUGGGUUCGAUUCCCACCUCCGGCACUA